rnacentral:rRNA from 1 species
UACGGGGGGGGGCAAGCGUUGUUCGGAAUUACUGGGCGUAAAGGGCUCGUAGGCGGCCAACUAAGUCGGAUGUGAAAUCCCCAAGCUUAACUUGGGAACUGCAUCCGAUACUGGAUGGCUUGAAUCCGGGAGAGGGAUGCAGAAUUCCAGGUGUAGCGGUGAAAUGCGUAGAUAUCGUAAGGAAGACCAGUGGCGAAGGCGGGUCUCUGGACAGUUCCUGACGCUGAGGCACGAAGGUCAGGGGAGCAAACGGG